rnacentral:tRNA from 1 species
GGUCGCCUAGCUCAGCUGGUUAGAGCGUGGUGCUAAUAUCAUCUGUUCAUUCAGUAAUAUGCAAACGCCAAGGUCGCGGGUUCGAUCCCCGUGGUGAUCA